rnacentral:misc_RNA from 1 species
UCCGGUUUGUCACCGGCAGUCCCCUUAGAGUUCCCGACAUGACUCGCUGGUAACUAAGGGCAAUGGUUGCGCUCGUUGCGGGACUUAACCCAACACUUCACAGCACGAGCUGACGACAGCCAUGCAGCACCUGUGUUAAACGUCGAUUGGUCACGAUCGCCCCGACUUUCAUCAGGACUACUUCUAACAUGUCAAGCCUAGGUAAGGUUUCUCGCGUAGCCUCGAAUUAAACCACAUGCUCCACCGCUUGUGCGGGUCCCCGUCAAUUCCUUUGAGUUUCAGUCUUGCGACCGUACUCCCCAGGUGGUAGAUUUAAUGUGUUAACUGCGGCACCGAAGGGAUCGACUCCCCCGACACCUAAUCUACAUCGUUUACAGCUAGGACUAC